rnacentral:tRNA from 1 species
UCCCCAGUGGCUCAGAGGUUAAAGCAUCUGCCUGCAAUGCAGGAGACCUAAGUUCGAUCCCUGGGUCGAGAA